GGGUUGUGAGGUUAAGCGACUAAGCGUACACGGUGGAUGCCCUGGCAGUCAGAGGCGAUGAAGGGCGUGCUAAUCUGCGAUAAGCGCCGGUAAGGUGAUAUGAACCGUUAUAACCGGCGAUACCCGAAUGGGGAAACCCAGUGUGAUUCGUCACACUAUCAUUAACUGAAUCCAUAGGUUAAUGAGGCGAACCGGGGGAACUGAAACAUCUAAGUACCCCGAGGAAAAGAAAUCAACCGAGAUUCCCCCAGUAGCGGCGAGCGAACGGGGAGGAGCCCAGAGCCUGAAUCAGCAUGUGUGUUAGUGGAAGCGUCUGGAAAGGCGCGCGAUACAGGGUGACAGCCCCGUACACAAAAGCGCAUGUGCUGUGAGCUCGAUGAGUAGGGCGGGACACGUGGUAUCCUGUCUGAAUAUGGGGGGACCAUCCUCCAAGGCUAAAUACUCCUGACUGACCGAUAGUGAACCAGUACCGUGAGGGAAAGGCGAAAAGAACCCCGGCGAGGGGAGUGAAAAAGAACCUGAAACCGUGUACGUACAAGCAGUGGGAGCACCCUUUGGGUGUGACUGCGUACCUUUUGUAUAAUGGGUCAGCGACUUAUAUUCUGUAGCAAGGUUAACCGAAUAGGGGAGCCGGAGGGAAACCGAGUCUUAAUUGGGCGUUAAGUUGCAGGGUAUAGACCCGAAACCCGGUGAUCUAGCCAUGGGCAGGUUGAAGGUUGGGUAACACUAACUGGAGGACCGAACCGACUAAUGUUGAAAAAUUAGCGGAUGACCUGUGGCUGGGGGUGAAAGGCCAAUCAAACCGGGAGAUAGCUGGUUCUCCCCGAAAGCUAUUUAGGUAGCGCCUCGUGAAUUCAUCUCCGGGGGUAGAGCACUGUUUCGGCUAGGGGGCCAUCCCGGCUUACCAACCCGAUGCAAACUGCGAAUACCGGAGAAUGUUAUCACGGGAGACACACGGCGGGUGCUAACGUCCGUCGUGAAGAGGGAAACAACCCAGACCGCCAGCUAAGGUCCCAAAGUCAUGGUUAAGUGGGAAACGAUGUGGGAAGGCCCAGACAGCCAGGAUGUUGGCUUAGAAGCAGCCAUCAUUUAAAGAAAGCGUAAUAGCUCACUGGUCGAGUCGGCCUGCGCGGAAGAUGUAACGGGGCUAAACCAUGCACCGAAGCUGCGGCAGCGACACUGUGUGUUGUUGGGUAGGGGAGCGUUCUGUAAGCCUGCGAAGGUGGCCUGUGAGGGUUGCUGGAGGUAUCAGAAGUGCGAAUGCUGACAUAAGUAACGAUAAAGCGGGUGAAAAGCCCGCUCGCCGGAAGACCAAGGGUUCCUGUCCAACGUUAAUCGGGGCAGGGUGAGUCGACCCCUAAGGCGAGGCCGAAAGGCGUAGUCGAUGGGAAACGGGUUAAUAUUCCCGUACUUGGUGUUACUGCGAAGGGGGGACGGAGAAGGCUAUGUUGGCCGGGCGACGGUUGUCCCGGUUUAAGCGUGUAGGUGUGUGUUCCAGGUAAAUCCGGUUCACUUUAACACUGAGGCGUGACGACGAGGCACUACGGUGCUGAAGCAACAAAUGCCCUGCUUCCAGGAAAAGCCUCUAAGCAUCAGGUAACAUCAAAUCGUACCCCAAACCGACACAGGUGGUCAGGUAGAGAAUACCAAGGCGCUUGAGAGAACUCGGGUGAAGGAACUAGGCAAAAUGGUGCCGUAACUUCGGGAGAAGGCACGCUGACACGUAGGUGAAGUGAUUUACUCAUGGAGCUGAAGUCAGUCGAAGAUACCAGCUGGCUGCAACUGUUUAUUAAAAACACAGCACUGUGCAAACACGAAAGUGGACGUAUACGGUGUGACGCCUGCCCGGUGCCGGAAGGUUAAUUGAUGGGGUCAGCGCAAGCGAAGCUCCUGAUCGAAGCCCCGGUAAACGGCGGCCGUAACUAUAACGGUCCUAAGGUAGCGAAAUUCCUUGUCGGGUAAGUUCCGACCUGCACGAAUGGCGUAAUGAUGGCCAGGCUGUCUCCACCCGAGACUCAGUGAAAUUGAACUCGCUGUGAAGAUGCAGUGUACCCGCGGCAAGACGGAAAGACCCCGUGAACCUUUACUAUAGCUUGACACUGAACAUUGAGCCUUGAUGUGUAGGAUAGGUGGGAGGCUUUGAAGUGUGGACGCCAGUCUGCAUGGAGCCGACCUUGAAAUACCACCCUUUAAUGUUUGAUGUUCUAACGUGGACCCGUUACCCGGGUUGCGGACAGUGUCUGGUGGGUAGUUUGACUGGGGCGGUCUCCUCCUAAAGAGUAACGGAGGAGCACGAAGGUUGGCUAAUCCUGGUCGGACAUCAGGAGGUUAGUGCAAUGGCAUAAGCCAGCUUGACUGCGAGCGUGACGGCGCGAGCAGGUGCGAAAGCAGGUCAUAGUGAUCCGGUGGUUCUGAAUGGAAGGGCCAUCGCUCAACGGAUAAAAGGUACUCCGGGGAUAACAGGCUGAUACCGCCCAAGAGUUCAUAUCGACGGCGGUGUUUGGCACCUCGAUGUCGGCUCAUCACAUCCUGGGGCUGAAGUAGGUCCCAAGGGUAUGGCUGUUCGCCAUUUAAAGUGGUACGCGAGCUGGGUUUAGAACGUCGUGAGACAGUUCGGUCCCUAUCUGCCGUGGGCGCUGGAGAACUGAGGGGGGCUGCUCCUAGUACGAGAGGACCGGAGUGGACGCAUCACUGGUGUUCGGGUUGUCAUGCCAAUGGCACUGCCCGGUAGCUAAAUGCGGAAGAGAUAAGUGCUGAAAGCAUCUAAGCACGAAACUUGCCCCGAGAUGAGUUCUCCCUGAGACUUAGAGUCUCCUGAAGGAACGUUGAAGACGACGACGUUGAUAGGCCGGGUGUGUAAGCGCAGCGAUGCGUUGAGCUAACCGGUACUAAUGAACCGUGAGGCUUAACCUUA
rnacentral:rRNA from 1 species